UACGUAGGGCGCAAGCGUUGUCCGGAAUUAUUGGGCGUAAAGAGCUCGUAGGCGGCUUGUCACGUCGGGUGUGAAAGCCCGGGGCUUAACCCCGGGUCUGCAUUCGAUACGGGCUAGCUAGAGUGUGGUAGGGGAGAUCGGAAUUCCUGGUGUAGCGGUGAAAUGCGCAGAUAUCAGGAGGAACACCAGCGGCGAAGGCGGCGCUCUGGGCUGGAACUGACGCUGAGGAGCGAAAGCGUGGGGAGCAAACAGG
rnacentral:rRNA from 1 species